CAGGUCACACUCGGGGCAGCACGACCAAAAUUUUGCAGCCGCCUGCCUUUCUCUCUGCAGUGGGCUGGCCCAGCCAGAGCUGAAGAGCAGGAACCCAGAUGAGCUCCAGCCCAGAGAUAACUCAGGGGGGCUAGUUAAUCCUUUUUUCCUUCCAGAAUACAGGGAUCUGGGGUCUGCCCCCACCUUCCAGGUGACAGUCCAUCAAUCUACAGAAGCCUUCCGUUGAGGAGGGGCUCAUAGACGGGCUGGCAGUGGGAGCCCAGCAGCAUAACAACUGGAACCAUGCUUCUCACUGCAAAAAACGACGCUCUCUGCCCUGGCCCAAGAUGGGGGCCGGGGGCGGGGACUGAGCCUGGCACGUUUCACCUUCCUUUCCCCAGGUGGAGGAUUCAGAAAUCUGGGCAGCUUUGGGCUGGAAAAUGCCGUGGCACUCCCCUCCCCGCUGGAGCUCCCUGUGUGGGCACCAGAGAGAAGCAGAAAGCGCUCUUGCUGUGGGGCCCCCGCCUGGAUGUCAGCCCAGGGCGUUGUGAGUCGCAGGACGUUUCCUGAGACCUCACCUGGUUUCCUCUCUCUCAGGGCACUUGUGAGAAAUAAAUGAGAUGAAGAAAGCAAUUCCCAGGCCCCAGAACUAACAUGGAUGGGUGGGCGAGAAGACAGCUUCCAGACUGGCAGCCUGAGCCCCUCUACCCCCACAUACAGCACCCUCCCAGGAACUCUCUGCUCGGCCUCUCGCCUUCCCCUCCCUGCACAGCACUCUCCAGUGUUCCUCGCCAUCGCCGCUCACAAACCAUCAUCUCUUUCAACUCUCAAG
rnacentral:lncRNA from 1 species